rnacentral:tRNA from 1 species
GGAGAGAUGUCCGAGUGGCCGAUGGAGCACGCUUGGAAAGCGUGUGUAGGGCAACCUACCGGGGGUUCGAAUCCCCCUCUCUCCGCCA